AGGCGACAUGGCAGGUGAAGUUUAGCCCUGUACUUGCUGUGUUGAUGGCGCUGGUGCUGGGAUUCGCGCUUCUGGCCUUCGUCGUCGUCGUCGCAGUAAGACUGUGGACGAGGCACAGUUUCCACAAGGACCCUCAAGGGUCAAGCUGUCCCAGCCGAAUGAACGUUGCUGCUGUCUGGUUGGCUGGAAGCAAGCUGCCCAGUCCGGUUGAAAGAUCCUGGAAUCCGGUGGUGCCUGACGUGGUGGACCGAGUCCAAGUUUCCCCACGAAGUGAUUCCACAGAAAUGGAUACAUUUGCAUCUUCCAAGGGCCUUUGCUUGGCCACACUGGACCAGGAUCACACUGUUGUGAAUACAUUGAUGCAGCGGUGAUAAGAAAUCUUCACAGGGCUCUUCUGCUGUCGCAGGGUCCACGAGCAAGGAAUUCAAGACGAAGGCAUCAGGCGCUCUGUGAAGACCUCGUUACUAGUGCGUGCCAGAGACCGCCCGUUCCAGUAUUUCCGAGGAAAUCGGCCUAAAAACAACGUACUGACGCCGAGGUUUGAACAGCUCAGCUGGAAUCGCUGAAGGACAUCACUCCGGCCCCGACUGAACAAGCUUGGACUUUGGAAGGACACAAGCUUGCCUGAGCGGUUUUGAGCCUUGUCUGCCCAUCAAAUGUGUUCUAAAGUUCCGAGUGAACAUAUUUCACAAACGCUCAAGACUAAACUGUCCCACUCCGUCGGUGCGUUCUCGUUAAUUUUGUUCUUUCUGCAACAUAAAAAAAAUAAUUAAUCGUGAAAGUUACUUGAAAUAAGACUUUUUUAUUGGAGUUUGUGAAGUAUGAUGUUACCUAAACAGAGAAAGACAUUUCCGUUGGGGUUCGUGCAUUUUAAGUUACUAUAAUGUUUGUUGCGUAAUUCUAACUCGUCUUUGCGUCGUGAUAAUUUUUUUUUCUGGCAUUAUGAGGGAUGUAGUAUUCAUCUGGUGGUUAAUAAACUAC